GUAAAGUCAGCUAAUAAAGCUAUUGGGCCCAUACCCCAAAAAUGUUGGUUACAGCCCCUCCUCUACUA
rnacentral:tRNA from 1 species